CAUGGUGGUUGGUUGUGCGGACUGCGCUGGGUUGGCUGGGGCAUGUUCGCGUGGACCCUUGGCUGAUCGAUGCACAUCGUGUGCGCGUCAUGCGUGCCUCACCUCCGUCUGCGGUUGGAGAUGGGAGAUGGACUGGCAAAAUAUCUCGCGAGCCCACCUCCCGCGUCUCCAUCUCCCUAGCCGCCUCCAUGCUCAUGCAUCCUCCCGCGUCAAUGGCGCCCAAACCUCCUCAUCUCGGAUCCCGUGGGACCGAGGUGCGGGCAUGGAGGCGAGCAUCCCUGACAGCCGCGGCGACCUACAGACAAAGGGUGACGGCGGCGGCGGCGCUCGAUUAGAUCUGCGGGAGAGAGAGAGAGAGGAUGAGAGGGAGAGAUAAGCAAGAAGAUGAGAGGGAGAGAGAGGAAAGGGGAGAGGAAGGGCUUCUACGUCACCGCUCUCUGGAUGCACGCCAUCCACCCGCGCACGCUCGCCACCAAACUCGCCGGCUUCGCCAGGUUCGGCUGCCUCAAGGACCUCCCCGAGAUCCUCUAUCGUUUCCUCCACGACCCCCGCGAUGAGCGCAAGGACCAGGACGACAUCGCCGCGGCGGCCCCGGGGGCAAGAGCGGGAAGCGGCAAGCGGCGGCUGAGGCCGCCAAGGCCCGGCGCGAGAAGGAGGCGGAGCACGCGCAGGCCGUGCUCGCACGCUACGACUCUGACGAGGCCUUACGCAAUCUCUACGAUGGCGUCGCCGACCUCUUCGUCUGGCUGCUCAAGUCGGGCCUGGAGCACCUGCGCGCGGGCGACACGGCCAAGAUCGUGUUCGCCGCCAAGUGCGCUCGUCGUAUGCAUGGGUCUCCAUUGCUCCAUGGGUGCCGCUGGCUGAGUUUGAUUCACCUUAUUGUCGCCUGCCUCGAGCCGUGAUUCCUUCUAAAUAACACUAGUGCUAGGCAGUGGUAGGAAUCCAGAGUAAAAGAAACAGUAAACCAAAUAUUCCCGGUGCUUGUUCCUGAUUGCAUGUGAACUUGGAGGAAAUGGGAGCAAGGAGAGACUUGGAUGAACAAAUUAUCUGUCUAAUACUUCAUUCCAACAUUCUACUACUGAAUAGAUUAAUCUGUGAUGUGACAAAGUUAUGCUCAAGCACAUCCGCGUCCGCAACCGGCUCCGCCGCGAGGUGCAGGUGCCGCUCCGCAAGGUGCUCGAGCUCCCCGAGGUCUACAUGAGCGCCCACACGUUGGACGAGCUGCCCUACGCGCGCUCGUGGCGUUCACGGCCAUGCGCCAGUACAAGGAAGCGUCCUGGCUGUGCUUCUUUCUUAUGGUAAUGCACUGCUCCUUAGCUUCUUUAUUUGCAUUUCUUAUGUGUUUUGCGUAUGCUGCUGCUUCUGCAAGUGAUGGUAUGUGUUUUCUUUUGCUUGGUUUAAUUUUGGUGUGUGUGUUUUCUGGCGCUAGGCCUACUUUUGUCUGUGGUUUAGGUUUCUGCAUAUACCAUGGGCUGUGCGCUUGUAUGCUGAUGAUGAUGUUGGUUAUUGUCUAUUCUUUCUGCUUAAUCAGCUUACAAUCAUAUUCGUGUAGUGUAAAUAAAAAUACAUUGGCUGGUUGUGUCUCUUAGUUUGGCAGAAAGUGCAUCAUGUCAAAUUAAUCGGUGUCCAUCUCCCUCAAUUUCUGCAUAUUUAUAUUUGGGAAGUGAACCAGGCUACUCAUCGAUUAAUAAAAGCUUUAUAGUUCUGUUCUCCUUCCAUUCGUUUCUUUAGUAUUAUUCAUUUAUUCUCUUAGAUUAAAGGGUUAUUAUGAUGAUGUCCUGUUGUUCUGUAUGUAUUGGAUGGAGGAUGCGUCGUUGAACGACCUCUUCCCUUGUUGCAAUUUCCCAUGUCCAUGGACAUUGUCAUAAUGGUCACCUUACCACAGUGUAUUAUUUUUGGAUCUCAUAUUCCUCAAGGCGCUCCAUCCUCUGAUUCGAUGUCGGCCGAUCUGAGAAAUAAUAGGAGGAAUAAUCCAGCAGAAGAAUUUGGUGAAGAAGAACAAGAAAAGAAUACCUUUAUCCUGAUAGGCAUGGAAACACCAGUUCACAUUGAGUGCAUCAUCGCUAAUCAGCUACUAUGUAUGGUCAGCGGACAUGCUUGCUUAUUCCUGUAACAUAUCAUUACUCAAUCUUCUUAGCCUUUCCAACUUUUAAGAUUUGAUCAAUUGUUUAGAAGUUUGUACAGAUCUAGAAGUAUUUGGUUUUGUUGGUCAAAUCCAUUGCCUGUCUAUCCUUAUUUAUUUUAUUGUUCGAACAAGAUAUCAGAUCACCUACAUUCAUUAUUCUUGAUUACAGUCUCAUACUAAA